GUGAAUCAUCGAAUCUUUGAACGCACACUGCGCCCGUCAGUAUUCUGGCGGGCAUGCCUGUUCGAGCGUCAUUACGCCCCUCAAGUCCCCUGUGGACUUGGUGUUGGGGAUCGGCGAGGCUGGUUUUCCAGCACAGCCGUCCCUCAAAUCAAUUGGCGGUCUCGCCGUGGCCCUCCUCUGCGCAGUAGUAAAACACUCGCAACAGGAGCCCGGCGCGGUCCACUGCCGUAAAACCCCCCAACUUUUUAUAGUUGACCUCGAAUCAGGUAGGACUACCCGCUGAACUUAAGCAUAUCAAUAAGCGGAGGA
rnacentral:rRNA from 1 species